AUGGGUGGAGAGGGGUUUAAUCUUUUUUAUUUUUAAUGUUUUUUCUUUCUUUUAUUCUUGUAAAAAUCUGUUGCUAAAUAAAAGUAUUCUGUGAAAGAAAAAUAGUCAUCUAAAAAGUGUAUUUUAUGAUAGAAACCAGAAGUGAUGACUGUAAUAUAUGAAUAUUUGAUGAAACAUGAUUGAUAUUCGUUUGGGGUGGUCCUGUGUGGAUCUCGGCAAUCUGUAUACUCAUUAAAUUGUCAUCAAUUCACUCAGUUUUGUUGAUCCAAAUGUUGACCGCAUCCAUACACAAACUAUAGAGGGGCAAUGGAUCUUCAUUAAGAAGAAAAGUGACAAUGCGGAAUUACUAUUUUACUUGUUUCAGUCACUUGAGUUUUAUUUAGCCUAGUACUUAUUCUUGUGGUUCCUUUUGCCGAACCACUAUGUUACAGAGAGCUAAAUAAAGUAACACAGAUCGUCAAGUGAUCAUUCAGAGAUAAACAGACACAGGAACACACACAUAUAUAUAUAUAUGUAUGACCGGCUUCUUUCAGUUUCCGCCUACCAAAUCCACUCACAAGUCUUUGGUUGGUCUGAGGCUGUAUUAGAAGAGAUUUGCCCAAGGUGACAUGCAGUGGGACUGAACUUGGAACUUGGUGGUUGGUAUGCAAGUUUUUUAUCACACAGACAGACAUUGUGCCCAGUGAUCAUUUAUUCACUCCACAUGUUCUUGAACAUCCGUAAUGAAACAAUUUUAGAGAUCGAGAAUAAAUCUUUAUGAAUCUAAUUUCAUGCAUCAAUAACUCUUUAUGUUUUCCUGCAAAUAUCAUUGUUUCCAUCUUAUAUAAAAUACAUGUACAGUUUUCAUAUCAAAUAUAUUUACAUUUAUAUAUUGGAUACAUUAGUUAUAAUUACAUACAUUGUUUGCAUGAAAUUCUGGGAUGUCACCGUUAUCAGCUCCAGGUUUCUAUCAAAGUGUGCUUUCAUUUUUUUUUUUAGGGGCAAUUUACUUUCACUAUUUUAUGUAUGGAAACUGCAUGUUAACCCAGUUCUUUUCCCCAGUUUCAUUUGCAAAUAAAACAACUUUUAUUUCAGACUUUAUCUGACACAAACGAAAGAAUAAUUGAAUCUAAAAACAAGAGUGGAACUAUAUUUACUCUGUAAUUCUGAUUACAGGGUAAAAAGAAGAUCAUAAAUACAGAGUAAACAUGGUUCCAUUGUUAAUUUUUAGAUUCAUUAAUUUCUUUUGUUUGUGUUGAAUGGAAAAGGUUUAAACAAACAAAUAUUACAUGUUUCAUUUUGUGUUGUAAAGUAAAAGAGGGGACAAGAAUUGUAAUGGUGAUCACUGUUGUAAGGACAAGGAGUUAGCAGCUUUCCUUCAUUGGGGAAUUUUACUAAUUUCAUGGACUUCUUUGUUUGUUUGUUUAAAGAGAGUCUUUCUGCAUUGUUUGAAAAGCAUAGUGCAGAAAAAGAAUUUGACUCAUGCGAACAUAAAAAUUUCAAUGUUAAAACUAUGGUGAUGAUGAUGGGCAAAAGAAGUACCCAGCAAGAAAAACCCAUUUUCCAUUCUUUUGUGGCACAAGCAGAGGUUUUUUUCUGCCAGAUGGCCUUCUUGUUAUCAACCAUCACUAGUUUCCAAGUAAGGUAAUAUUUCCCCAUCUCUGCACAUAUCUUCAUGUUGAUGUGCAUUGACAUGUAUUAAGUGAUACGAAGACACACACAUACACAGAGGACAACCUUUCACUUUCUGUCUAUCAAACCCACUCAGAUGGUUUUAGAUGCACUGGUGUUAUUAAAGAAGACACUUGCUCAAGGUACUGCUCUGUGGGAUUGAACUUGAAAUCACAUGGAUGGAAAUCAGUUGUUAAACAUUUUGUUUGUUUUUCUAAUUCAGUUGGCUUUUUGUUAUUUGUCAAUGUUUAUUCUUGUUUUAUUUGUCAUAAAAAAUUUUAGGUCCUGCGAUUAUCCAUAUGAUUGUAUGACCUGCUGGAAAUAAUAGUACAUCUCCCUUAAAUUUCCCCUUCCAGUCAGGAAUAUUGAAGACUAUUGGAUGAUGUAGUGAUAGAUAUACAACGUUAUAGAAAUAGCCAGGAUGUUCAUGGAUGGAAUGUCUAUAAUCAUAUACCUGCUCAGUCAGAACUGACCUGGAUGUAAACAACAAUGUCAAGUUAUAUUUAUGGUGAAAGACUAAUGUUAGUGUCCAAUAUUCUAUGUGAAGGUGUCAGUGUAGUUUACAAAUAUGGAAGCUUCAGACAAAAUUCUUUGGAGUCAAUUUUUAUAAAUUAAAAUGUUAAGUUCAUUGUCAUCUGUUGUCCAUGCUAGCAUAGUUUGAUGGCUUGACCCGAGCUGGCAAGCUGUGGAGCUGCAGCAUACUCCAGUCUCGUUUGUAAUGGUUUCUACGGCUGGAUACCUUUCCUAGUGCCAACCACGUCACAGUGCACAAGGUGCCUUUAUGUGGCACUGCAGGAUAAUUUUCAUGUGCCACCACACUGUUGCCUUAACAUGGUGGCACUGCACAUCCGCUUUUAUGAAGAAUGGCCAGAUGUGCUUUUCACUACUAGAGGGAUGAGUCUGAAUGCUUAUGCUGUCGAGUAUGGGUCUUCUUGAGAACAGUGUGGUGCUAGACAUCUUGGUCUUUAUCAUAUCACCUGAAUGGUUUAACAUCCUGAGUUCGCUCAUCAGCACUUCAUCCCAUGUCUUAUUGGGUCUCCACUUCCACUUCUUCCAACUACUUUGAGAGGUCGGCACUUCUUUAUGGAACCAUUGGCACCUAGCUCAGUUUUUAAUAACAUCGGAUGACAGAAGAAGCAUCCUCAAUAUCUACUAUGUUUUAAAGACUAAAGGAAAAUAUUAUACAAAUCAGAUGUAUAACAUUGUUUCUACAAAUCUGUCGUAGAAUUCCUGUGAAACAUUUGCUCUGAAUUAAUAUUAUUAGCCAAAUUUGUGAACAUUUCUGUCUGGAGUGUGAAGAAGAGAAGCUUGUGUGCUGAUCAAAGCUUAAUAAAUUUAUGGAAUUGUUGUGAAACAAAGGUAUCAAUGGACAGAAAUACAACAGCAGAAAUAUAUGUAAGGAGUAAAAUAUAAAAACAAAAGCAAGAAGAAUAUAUUAAGUGGGAUUUGAGAGGAAAAGUGAUGGAAAAGAGUGAGAAAAUUAUUUCCCUUGAAGACAU